rnacentral:rRNA from 1 species
AGUGAACGCUGGCGGUAGGCCUAACACAUGCAAGUCGAACGGCAGCACAGGAGAGCUUGCUCUCUGGGUGGCGAGUGGCGGACGGGUGAGGAAUACAUCGGAAUCUACUCUGUCGUGGGGGAUAACGUAGGGAAACUUACGCUAAUACCGCAUACGACCUACGGGUGAAAGCAGGGGACCUUCGGGCCUUGCGCGAUUGAAUGAGCCGAUGUCGGAUUAGCUAGUUGGCGGGGUGAAGGCCCACCAAGGCGACGAUCCGUAGCUGGUCUGAGAGGAUGAUCAGCCAAACUGGAACGGAGAAACGGUCCAGCCUCCUACGGGAGGCAGCAAUGGGGAAUAUUGGGCAAGGGGCGCAAGCCUGAUCCAGCCAUACCGCGUGGGUGAAGAAGGCCUUCGGGUUGUAAAGCCCUUUUGUUGGGAAAGAAAUCCAGCUGGCUAAUACCCGGUUGGGAUGACGGUACCCAAAGAAUAAGCACCGGCUAACUUCGUGCCAGCCGCCGCCGUAA